UACGAAGGGUGCAAACGUUGCUCGGAAUCAUUGGGCGUAAAGCGCACGUAGGCGGCUCCAAAAGUCGGAUGUGAAAUCCCUGGGCUCAACCUGGGAACUGCAUUCGAUACUGCCGAGCUAGAGUGUGGGAGAGGGUGGUGGAAUUCCCGGUGUAGCGGUGAAAUGCGUAGAUAUCGGGAGGAACAUCAGUGGCGAAGGCGACCGCCUGGCCCAACACUGACGCUGAGGUGCGAAAGCGUGGGUAGCAAACAGG
rnacentral:rRNA from 1 species